UAUAGCUUCAUUCCUUUGGAAAAACACUAGCAGAUUGUUAUCUUGACACUGAUUGUGAACAGCACCAUGAACACUGAGGACAGGACUGAACAGUUUCCUCUACAACCUUAUGAUUUCACUGCCUGGAGACAAAGAAGUCCCUAAUCAUCAAAGUCCCAGCUGCUUUUGGUCUGGAUUCCCCAUGCUGGGGUGCCUGCUCUGGGCACAGAUAUAAAGACCUGAAGAACAUCCUGUGCAUCAUUCCCCAAAUCAUGGAUACAACAGCAUCAGUACAGCAACUCAUCCUCAGCCCUGCUUCAUCCACCUCAGAGCUCCCACGUUUUUCAGGACAUCAGUCAUGCUGAUGACACAUUCAUGCAAAUAUGAAACCUUGUCCUUUCAAUGACUCAAGUUCUUUACUAAAAGUAAAAAAUCAUUGGCCUGAGACUACACAGAGUUAUUUCUAUGGAUGGGGUCAACACUGCUUUAAGAUUGUGUUUCUGUGACUGGAGCUUGUCUCCACAGAAAUGCUCUCCUAGCUCCAAGGUACAAUUGCUGUAGUUAAAACUCUGUAGUUAUAUUAGAAUUACUUCUUCCUCCCUGUAAUCACUCUUAUUCCAAAAUAAGCAUGGGCUUUUAUGUUUUAUUUUAACUACUUCCAACUACUGCAUGAGAUAAAUAAACAGACAAGCAAACAAACAAAAAAUCAGAUUACAGAGUAACAGUGCCCAGACACAAGGCAAAAUCCACAAUGCUCCCUUGGUUUCUUCUCACAAUUAAUUCAAGCUGAACGUGGCUCUUUCAGACAAGCCCCUUGCUGCUCUUGAAUCACACAGCUUUUCCAUCCCCAGCUGCUGGAGACAAAUCCAUGUGGAAGUCAAGGCCCUGCCAUGCACAUACCAUGGGGCGUUGUUCUUGCUUCGAAGGUCCCCUUGGCAGCCCUCCUCACAUCAAAAAAAUGUACUCCAAAGCUGCCCUGUCAGAGAGGAAGCAUUUUCUGUGAAGAACAAACAUAUGCCAGCUCUCCAGACAGAGCUGCUGUGGCUCUGGGGCUGAUGAGCACGGCCUGCUCAGUGACCAACACCUUGUGAAGCAACAGCACAGCAGUGCUCAACUUCCACCAGGUGCUGUCUUCAGGCCACAACACUGAGGUGCCUUAGCCUCUCAUGGUGACAGGUUUGCAGUGCUGAGGCAAUUGCAGGGAUACAAGAGCUCGUGGAUGAAAUCUCCAAGUGUGUUUCCACGUUAUUGUGGCUGUCCACAGCGAGGGAAGCUGCAGCUCUCUCUCAGUCAAGCUCUCAUGGACAGCUCUGAGUCAGCUUCACCCAGCUGGCCCCAAAGCCAUUUUAGAAACCCUUUCCCAAAAACACUCUUCCUGCCACCCCUGGGGAGGGUGAAGGGUCACAGCCACUGUAGGAAAGCAGGAGCAGCUGCAAACAAACCCAAGUGGAGUGUCUGAGCCACAGGUUCCCCUCAAACACCACACCAGAAUGUCCAAAAGGUGCCUCAGAAUGCUGUACCCCAACCUGGGAGGGGUUGGGAAGCGCAGAAGUGUGUGCUCAGCUCCCUGGAGGGAAGGUAAGCCUGCUAUCACUCAUCAAGAGGUUCCAAACCAAUUAAGAAGAGACACUCACAGGCUACACUGUAUUUUCCUUCUUAAAAAGAAAAAAUUCUUAAAGGAAAUUGCUGGGUCCCGGUAUUAAUGAACUCCUACCUCUUUUCUGGAAUCCCAUGCAGAAGGUUAUACUGAAAACUAACUAAAUAAAAAAAUCCCCCCACAGAUCUUUUGUGAACUUUUUCCACUGGCAAGAGCCCAUUCCACAGUCCAUGGUGACAAAAAAACUCCAAAAUUAUCAGAUCUGAGUAAAACUUCUCAAGCAAAAACAUUUUCCCAGCACAAACCAUUGUUCUACUGAAACCAAACCAUUUCUCUAGCAGUAUACUUUAUUUGUUAACAUUUAGCUAUGGCAAUUCUCACAGCAAAUUUUUCCUUGCAUUAAUUUUAAAA